CAGCAGCCGCGGUAAUACAGAGGGUGCGAGCGUUAAUCGGAUUUACUGGGCGUAAAGCGUGCGUAGGCGGCUUUUUAAGUCGGAUGUGAAAUCCCUGAGCUUAACUUAGGAAUUGCAUUCGAUACUGGGAAGCUAGAGUAUGGGAGAGGAUGGUAGAAUUCCAGGUGUAGCGGUGAAAUGCGUAGAGAUCUGGAGGAAUACCGAUGGCGAAGGCAGCCAUCUGGCCUAAUACUGACGAUGAGGUACGAAAGCAUGGGGAGCAAACAGGAUUAGAUACCCCGGUAGUCCCUGUCUCUUAUAU
rnacentral:rRNA from 1 species